UAAUUUAGGUAUUAAUAUUAAAGUAUAAGCUGGAAAAACAGGGGUUGCCGGAUGAUAAAUUCUAAUGUUUCCAAAAAAAAGACAAUUCACUGUCGACCGUAUUGAGCCAGUGUUAGUUAACAAAAUUAUUAAUAUUUACAGUCGCAAAAACCAAAAUCUUUUGCGCCGCGUUAUAAAUAGUAAACUUUGGUCGCACAAAUACUUAUUACAAGUUAUAAAUAUACACGCAGCAAUUAUAUAACCAAAGUUGAUUUGAAAAAAUAACUGCUACAUAUAUUAUAAUAAAAUAUAAAGUAAUAUAAAAGUACCUUCGUAAACCCCUAAAGUUCUAGAGAUAUAAUUGUCCAUUCAAUUCAACAGUUUUGCUAACCCGCUUUUGCCAUCGAUUUGCCUAUAACCUAAAAUCCCCUCCCCCAUUGCAACUUUAAUAUAUAAACAAUUAUAAAUUCGAUCGCUAUGCAAAAAUUUUCGGCAUUGUCUUUUGUUACUUUGGGGUUGUUGGGUUUUGCCAAUUCGCAUCCUCAAGUUCCUUUAUAUACCCGAGGUACCAAAGAUAAGCUGGUUGAAGGAAAACGUGCAUUUUACGAGCAUUGCGACGCUUCGCAAAUCAAAACUGUUGAAAAGGUUAUUGCACAAUAAACGAUAUUACAAAAUUACAAAUACGGUAUCCAGCUAAUAAUAAUAUUGAAAUUAAAGGCCAAUAUUACCGUUAAUAUUGCUCGUGAAAAAGUUCGAAAAGGAAAUCCCGAUGUUGAAGAAUUUUUUCACGGCAACGAUCCCAAAACGAUUGCAGCUGUUCGCAAAAUUUAUAAAAGAAUAAACCAUGCGAUUAACGUUAAUAAUAAACAAAAAAUUAUUUUUAAUUGUUAGGGUGAUAAUUAAUAUUGUGUUAUUUAUAUUUCCCGUACCGGGGACCCCGGAUAAAAUUGGAUUUAUAUAUCGGAUGAGAAAAUUUUUUUAUGUCCGGCCUGGUUUAAAAACCCGGUAAACGGUGUUUAUAUGUGGAAUGGUUAUUAAGGCGUUAAUUUGAUUUAUGGAUAUUCGAUUUUUCGACAAAAUAAGUCGGCCAAUUCCAUACACAAAUGUUUUCAAAUUGAAUAAAAAUUAAUAUAAUAAACAAUUAAAACAAUUAGAGAGGUUGUGGAUUUCGAUAUUUGGGGGAAGGAUAAUUUGUCCGGGUAAGAUUUUCCUGUUUAAUGUUUUUUGACGAACUGGUCUAAUGUUUUUACUAUUACAAUUUAAACAAUAAGCAAAGUGUGAAAUACGCCGACAUUUAUAUCUUAUUUGCGCAAACAAGCAUAAACAAAACCCACAAAAAUAAAGUCUAAAAGAAGCAAAAUUCGGCUGGGUAUACUAUUUUGAAGCCGUUGGGGGUUUAGUUAUUAUAGCCACUGAACGCAAGCAAACAAAGGAGAGGAAGAAACCGUUGAAGGCGAGGAAGGAGCAGCAAAAAAAAUAAGAGCAGAAGCGAAAAAUAUAAGAGGUGGAGAGGUUUUAACAAACAGGAUGCCUUUACGAAAGGCAUCGUAUAUUCGGCUGCUCUUAUGGAUGGACAAACUGUAAUAAAUACCGUAUAAAAAUUACAAAUUUUGCGAUGAGGAACAUUUGAAUGUGGUUAUUAUAGUCGUUUUCCCCACUAAACUUUCGUGUUUAGUCCUUUCAGCUAUAUAUUCCGCUUUGCAUAUUUUACGCGUGCCUUAUAUUCCCUCCAUGCGUCGAUAAGCCAAUUGUAUUUGCCAAAGCCAUCGACAAAACGCUGUCCAUCCCAUUUAAAAAAAUACCAAAUCCUGCCCAUAGGACUCAAAAUCUCGAUUCGGCCUCUUUUGCGGCCGGCCAGACUAGCUAUGCAAUCAAAAAACCGCUGCUCCUCAGUUAUUACAAUAUACGAAUGCUGAUGUUCCGCUGAGCGAAGGUUUACUUUUCAAUUUGCAUUGACCCGUUAUCGUUAAACAGAAGGUAAGGGAAAUUCGAACCUCGGUUUGAUAACAGCAACGCUAAAUAUAUGUUUGAAACGGCUGUAGUAUCGUUUUGUUUCGCCCAUAACCAAAUUUUAACGGUAAUGUUCGAAUUGCUAAGCUGAACCUCACAGGUCGCUUAUAUUCGAACUUCCUGUAAACAUUACAAUUGCCCUGCCCAAAAAACAAAACGAUCCUUUAAUCACCUGCAAAAUAUUUCGAUUUGUGCCUGCACAUUUGGCGUUUUCCAAGUUAUUUCUGCUCUACUACCUUUCCUUCGUUACGGUAUUGAACGGGUUUGAGUGGUUUUGUUUGCACCGUAAUGCGAAACAAAGAUUGGGACUUUGGCGAAGAUGUCCGACGAUGGAGAGGUGAUAUGUUAACGACAAUUUCGUCCAGCGAGGGGUUUUGGUUCGAAUCCUGCAAAUAAAAGCGGGGAUCGUCGUCUUUUUCGCGCAGGGACAAAAAAUCCAUGUUAAGGCGAGCAGGCGGGUUGUUACAGGUGGUUAUAAUUGCAUCAUUAAUCAGCAGUUCCGUUUUCGGACAGGCCGCUGUCGUGGUAAUCGAAAAAGGGAAAUAUGAAGUUUUUAGGAAUUGGUGCAAAUGGUAUCUUUCGAGGUAUGGCGCUGCACAACUCCAGUCGUGUGGUCGAUAAAUUGAAGCUCUGCCUCGAAUUUGGCCUUUGAGGCAGGCGUGUCGACGUUCAAUUGCCUUUUUUUUUGGGGGGGGCGUUAUUUCCUCGUCCUUCUUCGGGAAAUUUAAAAUGUUUGAUUCUAUAAUGAAUUUUGGGCAAUGGACAUUUAAAAAAUAGAAUUCGAAUUGUUUAGCCCAUUCCAAUUUGGUGACACAUUGUUUAUAGGGAUGGGGGCACAAUGCAGGCUUGCCGGCUUCGAUAUUUUGGAUAUGGGUUCGGAAAUGUUUGUUGACAUGGUCUCUCCACGAGAAUCGAUCGAGGAAUUGGCGGAAUCGCAUUUUUGGCGCCAGCGGUAAAUCCCCCAUGCAUAGGAUGCAGUAGCCAGCUGUCACCAAAACCCCGCCAUAAAUAAACCGGUUAUAAUAGGUUGGAAAUGUUUCCGGAUAAUCAAAAUGCAAGCGACAAUAAUUACUCUAUUAAUGUUCAUUUAUAACCCAUUUAUUGCAAAGGAAGCAGAAUUCAGCGAAACCAUUGUAUGAGGUCUUGAAUCAGGUGUAAACGUGUUUCCAAUUAUAGGUGGACUUUAGAUUUUUGGCGGCGCAAAAAAAUUCCGGCAAUUUUCGCCGGCGGGUUGACUUGCCGCAUAGGCACAAAUUUGGUUCCAGUCCUGGGCGAAACUUAAUUUCUGUAUCUGUUUCGCAUAAAGCGAUCAUAUCGCGGAACACCUGGAAACCAGUCGAAUUUCGCAAAGUAUCGGUUUGGAAAAGAUUUUCCGCCAGGCGGUCUCGCUCUGGUAUAAGGAACCUGACACGAUCGAAUAUAUUUCGGUGAUAGUAUGGAAGGUUCUUUUCACGAGCUGUAAUGGGCCGAUACGGCUGAGUUUGCUGCCAUUCCCGGAAUUUUUGAUCCGCCAGUUUUCGUUUUUUUUUUAUAAAGCUGCUUGCGGCGUGAGGCUGAUUAAAACUUUUUGCGGCAAUAAGGAUAACCAAUAUAGGCAGCAUUGCAUUGCAAAUGAAAGUUAUAAGUCCUAAGCUUUUAUAUAGCGAAUGCUCGGGUCUGCAUUAAUUAGAACAAAACCUUGGACUGCAUCGAUAGAAUGACCAUACCUUUUAUCCGGGGUAUAUGUUAUGCCCUUCGCAUCUCGCACAAGUUAAAUAGCAGAUUUAGCUUUGUCGUAUUUAUUACGGAAGGCCCCGCAUUUCACAUCCUAUUUCCGUGGCGAGUCGGUUUAAUUUUGAUCACUACAGUGAAUUAGUUAUAGGUAACUGACCUUGUAAUACAGUCCGCGCCCAGAACAAGCACGACAAGAUGAUUCAAUGUACUCGCCGAUACGAGAGGACAAACAGACAAUGGCCAUAAAACUCGCCCAAUCGUACAUUUUCGUUGCCGGCCAUUCGUAUUCGACCCAGUCGUUUCCCCACAACUGACGACCAAGGUGGAGGAAAUGGUUUUUGGUACCGAAUUUCCUUGGUCGCUUAGCUUUUACCAAUGUAAUGCUGCUUUCGCGUUUCAAAACCUCAUUCGACGCCCUCAAUGCCAAAAACAACCUUUUCCAUGAAAUUUUUCAAAGGUUUUGAAUUGUGGGGGCUCGGGUUUUGAUCGGCGUAUUCCUCGGCGUACCUAAACGAGCAUUAACAUAACCACGGUAUGUGAUUAUAUAUUAGAGGCUAUCUUACUGGUACAGAGGCCAACCAUGCGGUUGUACUGCCUGAAAUUUUUGUCGUCAAUCUUCUUAAAGAUAAUUAAAUUGGUAAUCCCCCAAUGCAUUGCACUGAGCCCUUGUUCCUCCCAUCGUGGAAGAAGUGUUGGGCAUUUUUCUUUCCGGGUAUUAUAACCAACGUUUCGCAGAGCAAAUAAUAUUUGGGGUCGAAUAGCUACGUCCUGGUUGCAUUGCAGAAAAAAAUAAAACAAAAAUAAGGUGCAGUCGGUUUAAACAGGUAGGAAAUGGGACGAAUUAAGAAUUAGCGACCGCAGCCUCAUAUAUAUAUUUGAACGCCAAAUGCCAUAGCGGACCGAAAUUCUCAGUCCAAAAACCUGCGCACCAUUCCGUCACCAUGGAGGCAUCCGAAUUUCGAAAGGAUAAAAAGGUGUCGCCAGAACCCGGGCGUAUCGCAAGUUUUGCCUGCACCUCGCCCCUGGCGCGUCCAACCAGAUCCCGAGCUAUGGCGAAGGUUGCAUAAAAUUGAAGGUAUACAGUGCCAAUUCAAAAUCACGUAAAUGAAAGAUGAUAGGUUGGCGUGCAACCCGCAGGAGGGAUGGGCUGUUAGAAAUGGCAGGUAGAGGAAGUGAAUUUAAAAGCUACGAUAAAUUGUAAAGAGGUAGAAAAAGGUAAAUCACUUAGUCAAAAGGUAGGCAGAAUUUGUAUUGUAAAAAUCAGGAAAAUAAUUAUUGAUGGCGAUGAUCUAAAACCUGUUCUAUCUAUUGUACGUAGGUUGUAAACCCUUUAUAUAUUGUAAAUAUAUUUAAUUUUAACACGUAUACCUUUUCUAUUUUUACAGGUAAAUUUAUUUUUUCUUUUCCUGUUAGUUAGACUUUUAUUUAUUAAUUAAACAAUAUAAUGCACGUUGAUUUAUAUGCAUUGUUUAAUUUAACGAUUUGUAUUAAAUCAAUUAAAUGAUAAUAUAAUAAACGCGUGGUAAUUUUAUAUCCCUGUUUAUUAACCUUAUGCCGGUAUAUUUGGCUUAUACAAUUGCAUAAAUUGUAUUACGGGUUGUAUAAACUAAUAUGGGCGAGGUUAAAAUAAUGCGAGGUGAUUAAAAGUAAUGCUUACUAAACAAGGGUAAUUAAAAUUUGAGCAAAAGCGGCGUUGCUAACUAACUAGGCCCGGGCGCGGGCCUUCUGGGUUUCGUUGCAGAUUACCUAAAUAUAUGGGAGUGGCGUCGGCUGCAAUAUUUAGAGCAGGGUACGGUUUCGUUGUUACUUUGCCUUGGUUAUUAUUAAUGCAGUUAAAGUAAAGUUUAAAGCCACUUGUUUUUUUUUUAUAAAUGAGUGGACGGGGUUUUGGUAAGGCACACGGAAUGGACGGUUGAGAGAUUGAAAAUAUUACGAAAUUCCAAACGUGGUUUGCUGUUGUUAAUCGUAGGAUUGCAGGUAAACUCUAAAUCCUUAAGGAUCAAUCCACCGUCCCAAUAAUAUAUUAUCUAGUACUGCCAUGGAUAAUUAUACGUGAAUUGCGCUAAUUCACCCUGCGUUCUCACAAUUUAUCGUAUACCUGGCUCUGGGCAGUUACUAGGUUAUAACAUAAUAAUAUACUGGAUUUUGUUAUUUGAUAGACUUUCGAGGUUUGAAUUACUAUAAAUAGCAGAGUUUAACAAAUUAUAUUACCGCUUAUAUUAUAUUAAAACCACCGUUAGCAUAAAUUUUUAUAACUUUUUAAAUAACUUGCAUCAAAUGUUAUAUUUAUCAAAAUAUAUUAACGAACUGUUUAAAUUAUUAGCACGUUUUUGAUAUCAAAUCUGUCUGGCCUUAUAAAUAGCUCCCAAAUUAUACAGGAAACUGUUCGUUCUUUUAACUUCUUUAGUUUUACCAUUAUCCUGCUCGUACUUUUAUUACAUAUUAUUAUUAACCCAUUAAACAAUAUGCGCGGCCUUUCCACUUUCCUCGCUAUUACUUUGGCGUUUACGUCGGCUGUUAUAGCUGCGCCGUCUAGCAAUUAUCAACCACCUUAUCGGCCUGAUGAUAAAAAGCCCAAAAAACCAGUCGCUGGUCCAUUUCAACCAACCACAUUCCCACCGCCUUUAUCUGGCAGUUUUAGCAAUUAUCGACCACCUUAUCGGCCUAACGAUCCAAAGGCCGAAAAGCCCGAAAAACCAGUCGCUGGUCCAUUUCAACCAACCACAUUCCCACCGCCUUUAUCUGGCAGUUCUAACAAUUAUCGACCACCUUAUCGGCCAGGCUCCCAACAAUAAGUUAUGUUGGCAUAGAGGUUUUACUACGUUCUUUCUAUCAAAUGAAUCGCCUGGUUACAUAAACCAUCCCAUGUAACUUAGCACGUGACCCAAAAACGCCUAUUUAGGGGAAGGCCAUUCGACAGCUCCCUCUUCCUUUAUAAAAUAGAAAAUAUAUAUUGAUAUAAAAAAUUUCCCUCGACUUACGUCCAUAGCUGUUUAUCGUUUACCCUUAUGCAGGUUAUGUGAACAUAUUUGGGAUUUUUCACUCCGUCUAAAAUGCAAUGAUAAUAAGUUUAA
rnacentral:sRNA from 1 species